GGUGGCUCAGUGGUAGAGCGCUUGCCUAGCAUGCAAGAGGCCCUGGGUUCGAUUCCUCAGCACCA
rnacentral:tRNA from 1 species